GCUUACUUAUUUUAUUUUUAUUGUCAUAAAUAAUGUGUGUGCGUGUGUGUAACUGCGGGGCAACUGGGGUUUAUAAUUAGACUUCCCCCACAGACACACACACUUUAGGCCCCGCCCCCUGUCACUGAGGGUUGAAGGUCAUUCGUGACUCUUAAAGGAGCAGUGCACCGUUUUCUCCUCGUACGUUUAGAUUAUAGCCAGUUAUGUUCCCAGCAACAUCUUUACUAACAGAACUUACGGCUCCUGAUGGUCGCAUGCCUUUGAAGGUCCUGGACCCCUGUAGGUCUAUUAGUCUUGGACCCUAGAAGGUCUAAAUGUCUUUAUCCCGUGAGGGUUUCAUAAUCCUGGUCCUCUGAUGGGCUAGUUGUCUCUGGCCCCUGAAGGUCUAGUUGUCUCUGGGGUCUAGUUGUCUCUGGCCCCUGAAGGUCUAGUUGUCUCUGGGGUCUAGUUGUCUCUGGCCUCUGAAGGUCUA
ensembl:lncRNA